rnacentral:lncRNA from 1 species
AGUAGUAGUUUCAUACGAUAAUUAAUUUGAACAGACCUUCACUAAAACAGUAAUUAAUAUCUCUCUGUAACUCCAAAUUUAGUGGAGUUUGAUUCUGUGGAAAACUAACUCGAUUGCGGUCGUUUCGGUACCAGUUUAGUUAAUUAUUGAUCCAAAUUGAGUUCUGUGCGUAGCUUUGAACUUGAGGCUCAGAAGCAGAUUUUGUGCAAAAUUUUGGUGGGGGCAAAAUCCAACA